CCCCUACAGAAAAAAAAAGUUGAGGGCCAGUUGAUGGCCAUGUGGCGGACAGUUGAGGGCUAGCUGUUUUAAGCAAAAUAGUUGAGGGCUAGGUGUUGAGCAUCUUAGCUCAACUCAAACCUGGCCAAGCACUGUAUGUUGGAUAGAUGUCGCUCAACUGGCCCUCAACUGAAGCUGGCCAUUAAGUUGAGGAAAAGUUGAGCAAUUGAUCUUUGGUUUUCAUAUAGUUGAGCAAAAGUUGAGCAUUCAGACUUUGAAAUUUUUGUAGUUGAGCAAAAGUUGAGCAUUCAGACUUUGAAAUUUUUGUAGUUGAGGAAAAGUUGAGCAUUCAGACUUUGAUUUUUUUUUUAUAGUUGAGCAAAAGUUGAGCAAUUAGAAAUAUGACCUGGUGAUAUAAAUGUUAUGUGCCAUCUGUUUUAUCUGUCUUUAGUGCAAAUGGACAGGAAGUAUUAUUAUAAAUGUACACAAAGUUUGAGGCAAAAUUAAGGGAAGCACAUGUUUUCAAUUUUAUACAUUUUUCUGUAUUUUAACUUAACUAAAUCUUUGACAUAAAGAUAAAAAACAAACAGUAUUUCUUUUAUUAUAAGAUAUAUCAAAUAUUCAAGAUUUAGGUAAUUAACAGUUAUUAUUAGGGGCAAAUCUCAAAGUGAUCACACUGUCACAAUACCCAAAAGAACCUCAAACAUUUAAAAUUUGAACUGGGUUUGAGCAUGCACAUGGCAAGCAAAGAUGUCUUCUAGCUAUCAUGAAUAAAAUAUGAAUUUUACAAUGAAUGUAGAUAAAAAAAGUUACAAAUAACUGUAUUGACAUUGAAAAGUGCAGUGUAUUCUUCUGAUGACAUGACUCUUGGAUUUAGGAAGAUUGAUGUUUUAACACAUAUUUCUGGAAACAUCUUUUGGUAAGUACAUUGGACAAAAUGUUGGAUUAGAUUUGAUUUCCACCAUUUUGAAUAAGUGUAUAAUUAUGCUCUUUUAGUUCAAAAUAGUGAUAUUUAAAGUGUUUUCUUUAUAAAC
rnacentral:lncRNA from 1 species